rnacentral:rRNA from 1 species
UUUUCUUCUCUUACGGGGGGGGGCAGCCAGUAGGGCAUCUUCUGCAUUCGAACGAAAGUCUGACGGAGCACGCGCGUGAGUGAUGAAUGCUUUUCGGAUCGUAAAGCUCUGUUGAUAGGGAAAGAACAAGUACCGUUCGAAUAGGGGCGGUACCUUGGACGGUACCUAACCAGAAAGCCCACGGCUAACUACGUGCCAGCAGCCCGCGGUAAUACGUAGGUGGCAAGCGUUGUCCGGAAUUCAUUGGGCGUAAAGGGCUCGCAGGCGGUUUCUUAAGUCUGAUGUGAAAGCCCCCGGCUCAACCGGGGAGGGUCAUUGGAAACUGGGGAACUUGAGUGCAGAAGAGGAGAGUGGAAUUCCACGUGUAGCGGUGAACUGCGUAGAGAUGUGGAGGAACACCAGUGGCGAAGGCGACUCUCUGGUCUGUAACUGACGCUGAGGAGCGAAAGCGUGGGGAGCGAACAGGAUUAGAUACCCUGGUAGUCCACGCCGUAAACGAUGAGUGCUAAGUGUUAGGGGGUUUCCGCCCCUUAGUGCUGCAGCUAACGCAUUAAGCACUCCGCCUGGGGAGUACGGUCGCAAGACUGAAACUCAAAGGAAUUGACGGGGGCCCGCACAAGCGGUGGAGCAUGUGGUUUAAUUCGAAGCAACGCGAAGAACCUUACCAGGUCUUGACAUCCUCUGACAAUCCUAGAGAUAGGACGUCCCCUUCGGGGGCAGAGUGACAGGUGGUGCAUGGUUGUCGUCAGCUCGUGUCGUGAGAUGUUGGGUUAAGUCCCGCAACGAGCGCAACCCUUGAUCUUAGUUGCCAGCAUUCAGUUGGGCACUCUAAGGUGACUGCCGGUGACAAACCGGAGGAAGGUGGGGAUGACGUCAAAUCAUCAUGCCCCUUAUGACCUGGGCUACACACGUGCUACAAUGGACAGAACAAAGGGCAGCGAAACCGCGAGGUUAAGCCAAUCCCACAAAUCUGUUCUCAGUUCGGAUCGCAGUCUGCAACUCGACUGCGUGAAGCUGCAAUCGCUAGUAAUCGCAGAUCAGCAUGCCGACGGAUCGUUA